AAAUAAACCAUCAGAUUCAGCCGAUUUAGCUUCAAUCAUAAAGGAAAUUGAGGGCUUCCAUCGUAUUGGUUAACCGUUGGCCACCUUCCCGGAGAAGCUUUGAAACCCCUCCCAACGAAUAUGUGGCUGAUCUAACGAUCUAACUUGUACCACCAGUUAGAAAAUCAAUCUAGUAUUGAUUGCAAGGGAUCAAAGGACUGAGCUCUGGUCACUUCCAUCAGCAACUUUAGCAGACUUGGGUACCAGCGGAUCGACGGAGAAGGAACUGGCCAAUGAUAAGAAUCAGUCGGAACCAAAGUGCAGCGAGCACACCUAGUAAGCAAAAAGAUGUUUUCAGACACCGCCCGAUAUCAGUGCUGAAGAUCUAAGUUGAAAAAUAAAGUGUAUCAGUAGGAAGAUCGAAGAAAUUAAACGGCCAAGCAGUAUGAAGAAUUUAGGGCAACAGAUGGUACCAGAGAAUCCAAGCGUGUCAUUGACUUAUAGGAGAACUACGACCCAGCGGAAAAACAAUCCUAUGUUGGUAUGUAGCAGACAGUAGCACAACAGGAAACCAUGGAGGCACCGGAUUUAUUUAUUUGAGGAAUCAAAGUUUAGUUUUUGGACGCUAUCCUGCUGAUCAAUAGAAUGGAGUGUGCUAUAUACUACAAUAUGGAAAAGGCCGGAUCAGGAAAGAAAUCUUCGGUCAGAUUAAGGAGGGACGGAUCUUGUCAUCAUUAUCACAGAUUAUUCGAAAUCUGUCAAAGAAGAAAGGACAGAACAUUUUCUACACACUUAUUGUGAACGAGCACCCAAGAUUGAUAUCUCUGUAGAUCUACCGGAUUAGGCAAUUGUGAGUAAUAUUCAGCAUGCAGAAUAAAAGGCGUGGUUUGCUCAA